CGCUUCAUUUAUCAAAAUAACAAACUGACACGUAGGCGUAAUGUCAACGAGUUUAUAAAUGUAAUUAUACAAUUUCAAACAGAGACACAACAAAAGGAAAUGUUACAUAAAAGUACAUUACAUAAUAAUGCAUGGCAAAGGCGAAGUAGCUCAGCCUGAUGGGAAGCCUGCAGAGAUUCCAGUUGUCUACGGAAGGCAUCGUCCACACUGUGAAGCUUCUCCACUGCUCCCCUAAAAAAUGAAAUUACAUGAAAAUUGAUAUAUUCUAUAUAUCAAUUAAAACAAGAUGUGCUUCCCUCCUCA